GGGAGAUAUUUAGAAAAUCUUAGCUUCAUGUAAAAUUCUUAGCAACCAUCAGACACGAUGUCUGAUGGAAGUGCCACUGAGCCAUGGAUGGCGAAUGGCACUGUUUGCGUGAAUAAAGAAAGCCUGCUCAUGAAGCUUAGAGUUUCUUAAUAUCGGAC
rnacentral:ncRNA from 1 species